rfam:Methylobacillus flagellatus KT, complete genome.
UGCUCUAGCGGGGUGGAUGUAACCUGCAUUUGCAUUGACGCAAAACACAUCUAACAAAACAGGAUUAAGUUAUGGCAAUUACAGUUCAAGAAACAGCAAAAAUUGUUGCUGAUUUCCAACAAGCUCCA